GACGAACGCUGGCGGCGUGCUUAACACAUGCAAGUCGAACGGUUAAGGGACCGGUUUUUGCUGGUUCUGGAUGAGUGGCGAACGGGUGAGUAACACGUGAGUAACCUGCCCCCUUCUUCUGGAUAACCGCAUGAAAGUGUGGCUAAUACGGGAUAUUCUGCGCCUGCUGCAUGGUGGGUGUGGGAAAGAUAUUGUUUCGGUGGGGGAUGGGCUCGCGGCCUAUCAGCUUGUUGGUGGGGUGAUGGCCUACCAAGGCGGUGACGGGUAGCCGGCCUGAGAGGGUGGACGGUCACACUGGGACUGAGACACGGCCAAGACUACGACGGGAGGCAGCAGUGGGGAAUAUUGCACAAUGGGCGCAAGCAUGAUGCAGCGACGCCGCGGGAGGGAUGGAGGCCUUAGGGUUGUAAACCUCUUUCGCCAGUGAAGCAGGCCUGUCCAUUUUGUGGGUGGGUUGACGGUAGCUGGAUAAGAAGCGCCGGCUAACUACGUG
rnacentral:rRNA from 1 species